GACGAACCGUGCGAACGUUAUUCGGAAUCACUGGGCUUAAAGCGCGUGUAGGCGGGACGGCACGUCGGUCGCUGAAAUCCCCCGGCUCAACCGGGGAACGGGCGCCGAUACGACCGGCCUGGAGGGGCGUAGGGGGACCUGGAACUUCCGGUGGAGCGGUGAAAUGCGUUGAGAUCGGAAGGAACGCCCGUGGCGAAAGCGGUCUCCUGGGGCACUCUUGACGCUGAGGCGCGAAAGCUGGGGGAGCGAACGGG
rnacentral:rRNA from 1 species